ACAAGGUGUGUGGCGUCGCCCCAUCAACAAGAUAGAGAGAUCUUUUGAUGGUUUUGUAGAAGAGCUACACUAGUCGGAAAAGACAAUUAGUGGUAGUCUUCUUUCAUUGUAAUUCUAGGAAAGAGUUGGUGGAUUCCAUAUAGCAAUUGUAGGUUGCGGACUUUUCUAUUUAAUAAAAUCUGGACUAGGUCCCGGGGAUGUAGGUUAUCCGAACCCCGUUAACAAAGCUUGUGCCUUAUUUACUUUAUGCUCAUACAUACUCGAAGUAGAUCAUACACAUAGUUGAAUUAGUCACACAUAUGCACUUUCAAUUGGUAUCAGAGCGGGUUCUCGAUAGAGAUCUUUUCUUGUUUCGGGUGUUCGAUCUUGGUUGUGUGACUAGCGGAGAAUUAGAAGUAGUUGUGUAUGUGUGAGAAAAGUCGAAGCAAAGGUGAAUAAAGUGCACAUGAUCUACGGUCACAAAUAAGAGUACGUCUUCUGCUAUGAAUAGUCGCCUAGAACUGGAAAGCAUGGAUCAAAAUCUGGUUUGCUUCUGAUUGUAUAUGAGCGUGAAGGAGAAGAAAGACGAAGAAGCAAAAGUUUACCUAUUUACGAUCGUAUGUAUCUGUUUGGACCUGAUGAUUUUACUUGGGCCUAUUCUGCUCAGAAUAUUUGUCUCGGCCCAACAAAUAGUGAUUCGAGAAAUCAACAGUAGCUACAGUUCUUGUCUGGGUUCUACAUGGAACAUCACCGGAUUUGACUUGUGUGUACAAAUUUCAGAUUUGUGAGAAGAAAAGAGAAGAAUUUGUGAAUGGAUUAAAGCUUCUUCUUCACAACCAGAAAUUGAGUUUGAGAAUCUUCAUCUCUGUUGAGAUUAAGUGAAAGAUUUGCGAGUCGUUGAGCUCAUAGGUGGAGAUUAUGGUAAAGAAAAUCAGCUUUGAUUUGUCAUGUGUCGAAGCUAUCUGAUGGGCUUGUAUACAUUUGUGGUUCUAUAUUUCAAAGGGUUCUCGAUUCAGGAUCAUCUCAAGUUAUUUUUUAUUAUUGGCAAUGUAAUCAACAGAAAAGAGGUGAUUUAAAGUAAGACAUGGAGUGCUAUCUCCUCUUGAUUGGUCAAUCGCAAUUUGAAAGAAAGCAAGGUGUUUUACGUUGAAGAAUCAUUCAAGCAUAAAGAAUGAGAUGAUUGCUGAAGCACAAUCAAAAGUGAUUCCUGGAGAGACUAGAGAGCUCAAGCUUGUAGGAGAUUCAUAAAGAGUUCAUAAGAGAGAUGAAAUUAUGUGGGAAACAGUGUGAUUGAAAAUUGGCUAGAGUCACCGAAGCUGCAGAGUUAUUGAUCGGUCGCGUUUGGAAGAGGUACAGAAGAAGCGAUAUGACCGUGAGCUUGGGAGCGAAAGAAACUCAGCGAGAGAGACACACGUUUCUGUUACCAUCUUGUCUACUUGGGAUGUUAAGAGAUCAGAGGAAUGGAUCAACAUUUGACAACCUUUAGUUAUGUGAAGUAUUUUGCAGGAGGAGACACGAAGUGUUGUCAAUUCGGAUAUGGAGAAGCCACGAAGAGGUAAGUGAUUUGAGAGACUGCAUCUUGAUUGGUUGAAGUCUGAUCUGGAAGUGUGUUGAUGUAUGUGUCGUGAAUUGGAAUUCUUGUCUUAUUAAGACACACAAUCAACAAGAGGGAGAAGAAUGUUGAGCUUCAUAGAAAAAGCUAUAUAAGAAGAAAACAAAGAACGAGUUCUUGUUCAAAAGCGAAGAGAAAGUGAUCUUGUUCUGAUGCAGCGACACAUGGUUUUUGUCAUGAGAAAGAAAGAUGAGCCUAUGGAAUAUGAUUCUUAAAGAUGUUGCUAGUAUUUUGUGAAGAAAUCAGAGAAUGAUGAAAAGAAGAAGAUUUCGGGUUUCAAGCACAGUUUUCUUUCUUGGGUGCUACUUUCUUCUUCAGUUACUUUGGCUACAGACCUCGGAUUUGAGCUACCAAAAGUGUUCUGGAAACUUGGAAAUGAGAUUUGUCCAAUGAUAUAAAGAUCACCUUCUGAUUCCUUUCGGUUUGAUGGGAAAUCGCUCUAAAACUUGGUUGCUUGCAGGUUUGUAUUGUUCAAGAGCUGUCUUGCGAAUUUUAUCAUAACUUGCAAACCGUAAACCCAAAUUGUGAUCUGCUUCUUCCUGUGGCUUCAAAUGAUUGGUGUGGAUGUUGUCACCAAAUUUCAUAAUUUUCUGGGCUGUUUUGCUACCCCGUUUAUGCUCUGCUUCAAGACUGCAUCAAGACAAAUGAUGGAAAACUUCAGUAUAUGUCAAUGGUGUCUCUGCAAACUCAAAGAAUAAGAUAAUUUUUUCUCAAGAUGGACUCUCUCAAGUGUGUGAUUCAUGUAUUGGUUGACUAGCACACAAUUAUGAAAGGAGAGAAGAUUUUGAUUUUUGAUCUGGGAAAGAUCACAGAAAUCUGAUUUAAAGAUAGCCUCUUCAAGAGAGAGUUUGGAGGUCUUAAAGUUAUCUGAUCAUGCUGAAAUUUUGUGUGAAGCUUUUUGCUAUUACAGAAUUGAGAUUCAACGGUUGGAUUGAAGUUUUGACGGAUGAACUGCAUUAUAUUCAAGCAUCUUCAAUCUGUUCCGGGAUCUGUCCAUCAUAUGUUUCAGAUUUGACCAGUUCUAGUAGAGACAUCAAAUGAGCGACCAAGUGAACUUGGCAUGAAAUAAACAUGUGCAGUGACAUUCUAGACGUGUGAAGCUAGCUUCUGGUAGAAAGAUACUGUAUUUGGAGUCCGGGAACAUAGUAGAAUUGUGGCAGUUCAGAGUAGUAAUUCAGAGACUUCUAUAGCUAUACUUUUACAAAGUGUUGUGUGGUGAAUGUGAAGUUUCAUGGAUCUGCAGUCCUUGAAUUAUGAAGCUUGUGAAGUGUCAAGAAGAAGGAUAUGCCUAAUCACAAAAUGUAUGAAGUCAUUGUUUUUAAGAGAAUCAUGUAGCUGGCGGAGUUAGGCUUUCAUCAUCAAAGUAAUAAUGUGGUUUCGCCGUCUGAGUUUGACGUUUUUGCAGAGGUUGAGCUCUUUUGUGUUAGAAAAGAAAGCUAGCUUUAUUAAAAACAGAAGUCUCAAGAACGCCAUUGGGUUAGCUGGUGUGAGAUAGCUGAAAGGAAAGAUACUAUGGUCUAUUGUUGUGAAGGCCCAGCUUGGUCUUGUGUCGAGAGCAUGUGUAGACGGUUUGAUAGCUUGAUGGAGUGCUUGUAUAAAGCUUGUUUGGUUCAAAUUUGCUGCAAUGUUAUUCAUGAUGAGACAGAAUUUGUACACAAGCGUGUCAAGUCUUCUGACCAAGGAGAAUGAUUCAAAGAGAUUUAUAACCCUCAGUUUUAUAUGGAGUAUAUCGCAGAUAGGUUCAUUUGUACAUGAGAACUACUGUUGAUGACCAAUAGCUGGGUGCAUGAGCUAACUAAGAAGAUUUAGUGAAGUUGUGAAUAUUGGCAUGAGCUGCAGUUGGAGACAAAGACUAGAUAAAAUCAUGCUUCUGAACAACACAACUUUUGGUAGUGAGUUUUUAUAGGAUCUGAUUCUCUGGUCAAGAUUAGUAUAUUUGCAGUUUGAUGAUACGCAAGAAUCUGUGGUUUUUACAUGGUAUGAGCAGCCAAGCAAGGAAGAAUGUGAUGCAACUGUGUAGGGGGAGUGUUAUACACUGUGUAGCAGCUCAUAUGGUCGAUUCAUGAAUGUUGUUUUUGGUGUUCAAGAAAAGCAUUUGGAGAGGAGAAUUCUACGUAAUGUUUCACUUUAUUUGAGAAGUUGAUUCUUGAUUGGGAUUAAUCAAAGAUGUGUUUGCUGCAAUUACGAGGUUGAUCGGAGUUGACAAAGAGCUCACUGUUUUAAAGUGAAUGGCUGGAGAGGAGAUAACUCAUAAGGGUUAAUGCAUAUUAUACUCCAUAGUUGUCGAUGGAACUAGUUGCAUUAUGAGAUUCAAGAAGCAUGUGAAGUAACGAGUUGAUAUGAGAUGGUUGUGGAGGCUAUUUAGAUGAUUUGUUUGAGAAAAGAUGGCUAGUUUUAGAGAUGGAGAAGAAUGUUAUUUUCUAUCAAAGUCAUCUAAACUGAAUGAUUGAAAAUUGUGAAGAUACAAGCUUGUAGAAAUCAUCAUGAAGUCUCAAGGUUCACAAUGAAAGUUCUUGGUAUAGCUUUUGAUAGUGAUAAUGGUUGUCCAACAAGAGAAGAUUCAGAGAAUUAUCACAGCUUGUGUCAACACAUUUAUUUGAAUCUGCAUCAGAUGUCAAAAACCAGUUUUGAGGAAUAGCUCAUCUGUUUGGAGUUUUUAACCGAGUUAUGUACUCAAGCAGGGGGAGAUAAAGAGAUAGUAGUUGGAUCUUAGCAACUAAGAAAGUUUUCUGGUCUGGUCCGGUUGUGAGGAAUUGCUUGAAGCUUGAUUUAAAGAGUGCUUGAGUAUCAAACUAAGUUAAAAAGGGGGAGAAUGACGCCAUGUUAGAUCCUUGGAGAUUGAUAUGUAACUUAAAGCAUAUAAUGUGUGAUUAGGUUCUAAAAUGCUCUCAUCAAGGGAGAGAUGUGAUGUGACUGGUUUGUAGAAGAUGCAUGAAUUAUAAAACGCAGUCAUCAAGGGAGAGAUUGAAGAUGUUGUGUUGACUGGUUUUAUAAGGCGCUUGGAUUAAACAACUCAAUCAUCAAGGGAGAGAUUGAAGAUGUUGUGUUGACUGGUUUUGUAAGGCGCUUGGAUUAUAAAACUCAAUCAUCAAGGGAGAGAUUGAAGCUGUGGUGUUGAAUGAGUUUUAUAAGCUAUCUUAACAUGUCAACAUAUUACGAUGAUACAUGAAGUGAUUGGAUAGAAUUAUCAUAGAAGAUGAAACAGUGCUUGUACUAGUCUGACGUCAAUACAGGAAGUAGUACAAGAAGGUGAGUUGUGCGAAUACUUGAAGUAGUACAGGAGGCAGUACAAGAAGCCGAGCUGUGUGACUACUUGAAGAGUUGGAGUACAGAAGUUUGGGACCGACUUGGACAAGCCAAGAGGCGGUUGCUGAGCUGGAUGAACAUCUUGAAUAGUAAAUUCAAGAUGAGAACGAAAGGCAAAUUUCCUUAUCUAUAAAGAACAAAGGAAAUUUGUCAAUUCCUAUUUGGUGAAGGAAUAGGAAAAUUGUCAAUCUUUAGUGUUGAACAAUUGUUAUAAAUACCAAGAGGGCGCUUCAUGAAGACUUGCGCGCCUCAGGGUAUUCUCGAGAAGAUGCACACAAGGUGUGUGGCGUCGCCCCAUCAACAAGAUAGAGAGAUCUUUUGAUGGUUUUGUAGAAGAGCCACACUAGUCGGAAAAGACAAUUAGUGGUAGUCUUCUUUCAUUGUAAUUCUAGGAAAGAGUUGGUGGAUUCCAUAUAGCAAUUGUAGGUUGCGGACUUUUCUAGUUAAUGAAAUCUGGACUAGGUCCCGGGGAUGUAGGUUAUCCGAACCCCGUUAACAAAGCUUGUGCCUUAUUUACUUUAUGCUCAUACAUACUCGAAGUAGAUCAUACACAUAGUUGAAUUAGUCACACUCACACAUAUGCACUUUCAGAUUCCACUCAGCUUCUUCUGCGUUUGAUUCAUAUGGAAGAUACCGGAGGUUCUAAAACCUCUUCAUAACCACUGGCGUUUGCAUAUUAAUAUUAUCAUGAAUUUCCCAUAUUUUCUACGUAUUUUUCUUUAAAAAUAGUUGACCUUUUUUACUUUUAAAAAAAAAAUAUUAUUA
rnacentral:lncRNA from 1 species